AAAAACUGCAGGCCCUGGGUGUAAGGGCAAUGCUCUUGACAGCAAACACCUGGGUGUCCGAGGUGUUACUGCCCCGUUGCCACUUAGUAGGCGAACGCUACUACAUGUGUGGACAGAAUGCGGGACAUUUAUGGACUUCUUGUUCACGACUGGGUCCUACCAGAUGCCACACGCCAGUUGGAUGAACCCUCAUCAGCCCCAGUCGAACAACCAACUGGACCAGUAGCUCCACCAGAUCCCCAGCAAACACUGGCUCCACCUGAUCCCCGAAGGGCCCCAACUGGACCAGUAAUGGCCCCACCAGACCCAGUGGAGGUUGUCCCUCAGCAACCUCCACUACAUCAGUGAAGUUCCUGACUAGGCCACCAGCAGCCCCAACUGGACCAUCAACCUCUGGUUCCCAUUCCUCAGAAGGAACUCCAGCUGCCCCAGUUGCUUUAGAAAAAGUAAUAGAUGACAUUGUGAAAGAAGGCUGUCCUGCUCCCAGUGCAGUGCUGAAACGGAAAAGGAAAGGUGUGUUGUAAUGUCAAUCCAUAAUUGUCUGAAUAUGGUUUUAAAAAAAAUAUAUAUACUGUAUAUAUAAUUGAAGUAUACCACAAUGAAGUAAUCAGAUAUUUUUGU